AGAGUUUGAUCAUGGCUCAGAACGAACGCUGGCGGCGUGCUUAACACAUGCAAGUCGAGUGCGCGUACCGUAGCAAUACGGUAUGGCGCACGGCGCACGGGUGCGUAACACGUGGGCAAUCUGCCCUUCGAUGGGGAAUAUCUUCGGGAAACCGAAGCGAAUUCCGCAUAACAUUCCUUGGACUUCGGUUCGAGGACUCAAAGCAGCAAUGCGUCGGAGGAGGAGCCCGCGCCCGAUUAGCUAGUUGGUGAGGUAACGGCUCACCAAGGCUAUGAUCGGUAGCUGGUCUGAGAGGAUGGCCAGCCACACUGGAACUGAGACACGGUCCAGACUCCUACGGGAGGCAGCAGUGGGGAAUCUUGCGCAAUGGGCGAAAGCCUGACGCAGCGACGCCGCGUGGGGGAUGAAGCUUCUCGGAGUGUAAACCCCUUUCGACCGGGACGAAUGCCCGCAAGGGAGUGACGGUACCGGUAGAAGAAGCCCCGGCUAACUACGUGCCAGCAGCCGCGGUAAGACGUAGGGGGCCAGCGUUGUUCGGAAUUACUGGGUGUAAAGGGUUCGUAGGCGGUGUGGCAAGUCGGGAGUGAAAUUUCUGGGCUUAACUCAGAACCUGCUUCCGAAACUGCUGUGCUCGAGUGUGGGAGAGGCGCGUGGAAUUGCAGGUGUAGCGGUGAAAUGCGUAGAUAUCUGCAGGAACACCCGUGGCGAAAGCGGCGCGCUGGACCACUACUGACGCUGAGGAACGAAAGCUAGGGGAGCAAACAGGAUUAGAUACCCUAGUAGUCC
rnacentral:rRNA from 1 species